rnacentral:rRNA from 1 species
UACGAAGGGUGCAAGCGUUGCUCGGAAUUAUUGGGCGUAAAGCGCACGUAGGCGGCUUUGCAAGUCCCAUGUGAAAUCCCACGGCUUAACCGUGGAAGUGCAUGGGAAACUGCAGAGCUUGAGUACUUAAGAGGAUCGCGGAAUUCCCGGUGUAGAGGUGAAAUUCGUAGAUAUCGGGAGGAACACCAGUGGCGAAGGCGGCGAUCUGGGAAGAUACUGACGCUGAGGUGCGAAAGCGUGGGGAGCAAACAGG